UUCUGACAACGCCCAUGAAAUAUAAAUAGAUUUAAACACAUCUUGAUUUUUGAAAGUUAAUGUUCUUUGUUGCACUAAAUUCCUCUAACUGUCCAACAACUUAAAGUUUUGUGAUAUUUCAACAAUCUGCGUACCACUUAACAUAAUUUUCGAGAUGACAACCUGGAUUUUAGCAAUAAUUGUGAUUGUGUCGCUGUACUGUCAUCAUGCCACAAUUAUUUCCAGUGUCCGAGCAGCACCGAAUCCGGCUUCAAAUGACAAUAACAACGUCCUGAAAGCACCCGAAUCAGCUCGACAGCAGAUUUCCAACACGUCUUCAGCCAGUGCUGGAGAAGGAAACUCAUCUUCUAACCAGUCUUCGGAACUGGCGAAGGAGAUCCAGUUGAUGAAGAAAUACAUGACUGAAAACCUGACUUUGAAUUUAUUAAGCUUGAAUUCAAGCAUUCGCGAAGUGUAAACAGGACUAGACGCUGUUAAACUAAGCGUGCUGAAAUGCGCCCCAAAAAGAGGCUCCUCGGAGUGGCCCGUUGGAAUCAUGAAGGUGGACAGCCACCUUUACUCUGACGAAAAGUUCUGUUCGGAAACCGGCAAAUUUUGCUUGCAUCUUCAAAACUCCGGGAACUUAGUACUUUACGACACCAAGACCUACAGGGUCAUAUGGAACUCAAGAAUAGUUCUUGGAUAUUUUUGUGAUUCAGAUCUAACGGUGCAAGGAGAUGGAGCUGUGGGUCUAUACAUCAGAGGUGCCUUGGUAUGAGUUGGUGGUGUUGCCGGUGAAAAGCAAGGGAACACUUUUGUAUCUACAUCAGGACGCGAGUUGUACUUCCAGCCAGAUGGACACCUGUGCUUGCGGUAUCCUUCCAACUCCGGCAAAACUCAAAGUUGUGCAUGGUCCACUUACAAAAUGGAACGCGAAAUUCCUGCCAUUGCCAUACAAGGUUUGCGAGUUGGAAACGUUAAUUCUUCCACGGGAGGCCGGCUAAUUGAAAAUCCCCUUUCUCUCAUGUGGCUUAGCUUAAUACCAUGUAUAACCAUUCUGCAUUACCAUUUUGAUUAGCACUGCUUUAGGCAAUCUAUCACAUUUCUUGCCGUUCAGGUGAUGAACCGAACAAACUGCGUGGUUUCUUGUAAUAAA